rnacentral:rRNA from 1 species
CGGAACGGGUGAGUAACGCGUGAGGAACCUGCCUCAAAGAGGGGGACAACAGUUGGAAACGACUGCUAAUACCGCAUAAGCCCACAGCUCGGCAUCGAGCAGAGGGAAAAGGAGCAAUCCGCUUUGAGAUGGCCUCGCGUCCGAUUAGCUAGUUGGUGGGGUAACGGCCUACCAAGCCGACGAUCAGUAGCCGACCUGAGAGGGUGACCGGCCACAUUGGGACUGAGACACGGCCCAA